GACGAACCGUGCGAACGUUAUUCGGAAUCACUGGGCUUAAAGCGCGUGUAGGCGGGACGGCACGUCGGUCGCUGAAAUCCCCCGGCUUAACCGGGGAACUGGCGUCGAUACGACCGUCCUGGAGGGGCGUAGGGGGACCUGGAACUUCCGGUGGAGCGGUGAAAUGCGUUGAGAUCGGCAGGAACACCCAGGGGGAAACCAGUCGACUGGGCAUUUGCUGACGCUGAGGUGCGAGAGCGUGGGGAGCGAACCGG
rnacentral:rRNA from 1 species